AUUGAACGCUGGCGGCAGGCCUAACACAUGCAAGUCGAGCGGCAGCACGGGAGCUUGCUCCUGGUGGCGAGCGGCGGACGGGUGAGUAAUGCCUAGGAAUCUGCCUGUUAGUGGGGGAUAACUCGGGGAAACUCGAGCUAAUACCGCAUACGUCCUACGGGAGAAAGUGGGGGACCUUCGGGCCUCACGCUAACAGAUGAGCCUAGGUCGGAUUAGCUAGUUGGUGGGGUAAAGGCCUACCAAGGCGACGAUCCGUAGCUGGUCUGAGAGGAUGAUCAGCCACACUGGAACUGAGACACGGUCCAGACUCCUACGGGAGGCAGCAGUGGGGAAUAUUGGACAAUGGGCGCAAGCCUGAUCCAGCCAUGCCGCGUGUGUGAAGAAGGUCUUCGGAUUGUAAAGCACUUUAAGUUGGGAGGAAGGGCUGUUACCUAAUACGUGACAGUUUUGACGUUACCAACAGAAUAAGCACCGGCUAACUUCGUG
rnacentral:rRNA from 1 species